rnacentral:rRNA from 1 species
AUACAGAGGUCUCGAGCGUUAGGCGGAAUCACUGGGCUUAAAGCGUGUGUAGGCGGGUCGUUAAGUACCUUGUGAAAUCCCAUGGCUCAACUAUGGAACUGCUUGGUAUACUGGCGAUCUUGUGCAACCUAGGGGCGAGCGGAACAGAUGGUGGAGCGGUGAAAUGCGUAGAUAUCAUCUGGAACGCCAAUGGUGAAAACAGCUCGCUGGGGGUUUGCAGACGCUGAGACACGAAAGCCAGGGGAGCGAACGGGA